rnacentral:rRNA from 1 species
UUGAAAUCUGGCACUUGUGCCCGAGUUGUAAUUUGUAGAGGAUGCUUUUGGCGACGCGCCUUCCGAGUUCCCUGGAACGGGACGCCAUAGAGGGUGAGAGCCCCGUCCGGUCGUGCGCCUAGCCUCUGUAAAGCUCCUUCGACGAGUCGAGUAGUUUGGGAAUGCUGCUCUAAAUGGGAGGUAUACGUCUUCUAAAGCUAAAUACCGGCCAGAGACCGAUAGCGCACAAGUAGAGUGAUCGAAAGAUGAAAAGCACUUUGAAAAGAGGGUUAAAUAGUACGUGAAAUUGCUGAAAGGGAAGCGCUUAUGACCAGACUUGGGCGCGGCGGAUCAUCCGGCGUUCUCGCCGGUGCACUCCACCGCCCCAGGCCAGCAUCAGUUCGCGCCGGGGGACAAAGGCUUCGGGAAUGUGGCUCCCUCGGGAGUGUUAUAGCCCGUUGCGUAAUACCCUGGUGCGGACUGAGGUCCGCGCUCUGCAAGGAUGCUGGCGUAAUGGUCAUCAGUGACCCGUCUUGAAACACGGACCAAGGAGUCGUCUUCGUAUGCGAGUGUUCGGGUGUCAAACCCCUACGCGGAAUGAAAGUGAACGUAGGAGAGAGCUUCGGCGCAUCUCCGACCGAUCCUGAUGUUCUCGGAUGGAUUUGAGUAAGAGCAUACGGGGCCGGACCCGAAAGAAGGUGAACUAUGCCUGUGUAGGGUGAAGCCAGAGGAAACUCUGGUGGAGGCUCGCAGCGGUUCUGACGUGCAAAUCGAUCGUCAAACAUGGGCAUGGGGGCGAAAGACUAAUCGAACCUUCUAGUAGCUGGUUUCCGCCGAAGUUUCCCUCAGGAUAGCAGUGUUGAACUCAGUUUUAUGAGGUAAAGCGAAUGAUUAGGGACCCGGGGGCGCUAUAUUGCCUUCAUCCAUUCUCAAACUUUAAAUAUGUAAGAAGCUCUUGUUGCUUAGUUGAACGUGAGCAUUCGAAUGUAUCAACACUAGUGGGCCAUUUUUGGUAAGCAGAACGGGCGAUGCGGGAUGAACCGAACGCGAGGUUAAGGUGCCAGAGUAGACGCUCAUCAGACACCACAAAAGGUGUUAGUACAUCUUGACAGCAGGACGGUGGCCAUGGAAGUCGGAAUCCGCUAAGGACUGUGUAACAACUCACCUGCCGAAUGUACUAGCCCUGAAAAUGGAUGGCGC